UACGUAGGGGGCAAGCGUUAUCCGGAUUUACUGGGUGUAAAGGGAGUGUAGGCGGCGAUGCAAGUCAGAUGUGAAAGGCGUGGGCUCAACCUGCGGACUGCAUUUGAAACUGUAUUGCUAGAGUGUCGGAGAGGUAAGUGGAAUUCCUAGUGUAGCGGUGAAAUGCGUAGAUAUUAGGAGGAACACCAGUGGCGAAGGCGGCUUACUGGACGAUAACUGACGCUGAGGCUCGAAAGCGUGGGGAGCAAACAGG
rnacentral:rRNA from 1 species